UACGUAGGUGGCAAGCGUUGUCCGGAAUUACUGGGCGUAAAGGAUGCGUAGGCGGCCUCUUAAGUGGGAUGUGAAAUACCCGGGCUUAACCCGGGAAAUGCAUUCCAUACUGGGAGGCUAGAGUGCAGGAGAGGAAAGCGGAAUUCCCAGUGUAGCGGUGAAAUGCGUAGAGAUUGGGAGGAACACCAGUGGCGAAGGCGGCUUUCUGGACUGUAACUGACGCUGAGGCAUGAAAGUGUGGGGAGCAAACAGGAUUAGAUACCCUGGUAGUCCACACCGUAAACGAUGGGCACUAGGUGUAGGGGGCGAAGCCCUCUGUGCCGCAGUUAACACAUUAAGUGCCCCGCCUGGGGAGUACGAUCGCAAGAUUAAA
rnacentral:rRNA from 1 species